rnacentral:rRNA from 1 species
AUAUUGCGCAAUGGAGGAAACUCUGCCGCAGCGACGCCGCGUGAUCGAUGAAGUUCUUCGGAUCGUAACGCUCUGUCCUUGUGGGAGUAGAUCGACUGAUUUGACGGUACCCGAGGAUGAACCCCCGGCUAAGUCCGUGCCAGCAGCCGCGGUAACAAGUAGGGGGCAAGCGUUGUCCGGAAUUAUUGGGCGUAAAGGGUGCGUAGGCGGCUUUUUAAGUCAGAUGUGAAAGACCAAGGCUUAACCGUGGGGUUGCAUUUGAAACUGGAAGGCUUGAGUAUCGGCGAGGGUAGUGGAAUUCCCAGUGUAGCGGUGAAAUGCGUAGAUAUUGGGAGGAACACCAGUGGCGAAGGCGACUACCUGGACGAAAACUGACGCUGAUGCACGAAAGCUAGGGGAGCAAACA